rnacentral:rRNA from 1 species
AGUGAACGCUGGCGGUAGGCCUAACACAUGCAAGUCGAACGGCAGCACAGUAAGAGCUUGCUCUUACGGGUGGCGAGUGGCGGACGGGUGAGGAAUACAUCGGAAUCUACUUUUUCGUGGGGGAUAACGUAGGGAAACUUACGCUAAUACCGCAUACGACCUACGGGUGAAAGCAGGGGAUCUUCGGACCUUGCGCGACUGAAUGAGCCGAUGUCGGAUUAGCUAGUUGGCGGGGUAAAGGCCCACCAAGGCGACGAUCCGUAGCUGGUCUGAGAGGAUGAUCAGCCACACUGGAACUGAGACACGGUCCAGACUCCUACGGGAGGCAGCAGUGGGGAAUAUUGGACAAUGGGCGCAAGCCUGAUCCAGCCAUACCGCGUGGGUGAAGAAGGCCUUCGGGUUGUAAAGCCCUUUUGUUGGGAAAGAAAAGCAGCAGGUUAAUACCCCGCUGUUCUGACGGUACCCAAAGAAUAAGCACCGGCUAACUUCG